rnacentral:rRNA from 1 species
GACGAACGCUGGCGGCAUGCUUAACACAUGCAAGUCGAACGGAAAGGCCCUGCUUUUGUGGGGUGCUCGAGUGGCGAACGGGUGAGUAACACGUGAAUAACCUGCCCUUGACUUUGGGAUAACUUCAGGAAACUGGGGCUAAUACCGGAUAGGAGCUCCUGCUGCAUGGUGGGGGUUGGAAAGUUUCGGCGGUUGGGGAUGGACUCGCGGCUUAUCAGCUUGUUGGUGGGGUAGUGGCUUACCAAGGCUUUGACGGGUAGCCGGCCUGAGAGGGUGACCGGCCACAUUGGGACUGAGAUACGGCCCAGACUCCUACGGGAGGCAGCAGUGGGGAAUAUUGCACAAUGGGCGGAAGCCUGAUGCAGCAACGCCGCGUGCGGGAUGACGGCCUUCGGGUUGUAAACCGCUUUCGCCUGUGACGAAGCGUGAGUGACGGUAAUGGGUAAAGAAGCACCGGCUAACUACGUG